GAUGAACGCUAGCUACAGGCUUAACACAUGCAAGUCGAGGGGUAACGAGAGGAAAGCUUGCUUUCCUUGUCGACGACCGGCGCACGGGUGAGUAACGCGUAUCCAACCUGCCCCCAACUAGGGAAUAACCUUGCGAAAGUAAGACUAAUACCCUAUAAUUUCCUCAGAUGUCAUCUGACGAGGAAUAAAGAUUUAUCGGUUGUGGAUGGGGAUGCGUAUGAUUAGCUUGUUGGCGGGGUAACGGCCCACCAAGGCAACGAUCAGUAGGGGUUCUGAGAGGAAGGACCCCCACAUUGGAACUGAGACACGGUCCAAACUCCUACGGGAGGCAGCAGUGAGGAAUAUUGGUCAAUGGGCGGAAGCCUGAACCAGCCAAGUAGCGUGCAGGAUGACGGCCCUAUGGGUUGUAAACUGCUUUUAUACAGGAAUAAAGUUAGCCACGUGUGGUUAUUUGUAGGUACUGUAUGAAUAAGGACCGGCUAAUUCCGUGCCAGCCGCCGCAGUAA
rnacentral:rRNA from 1 species